AACGGCCGCGGUAUCCUGACCGUGCAAAGGUAGCAUAAUCACUUGCCUAUUAAUUGUAGGCUAGAAUGAAAGGACAAACGAGAAUACACCUGUCUCCUUUAAGUCCUUAAAAAUUUAUCUUUAAGUGAAGAAGCUUAAAUUCAUAUGCAGGACAAGAAGACCCUAUAGAGCUUUACCUAAAAUCUACAUAGAUAGUAGCUAGCGGUUCGGUUGGGGCGACCGGGGGACAUUCAUCACCCCCAAACUAAAAGAUAUACCUAUCUCACCAAAGAUCCUUACUCAAGAUCAAAGAAUCAAGCUACCUUAGGGAUAACAGGCUAAUCCUCUUAGAGAGCCCUUAUCGACAAGAGGGGUUGGCACCUCGAUGUUGGCUUA
rnacentral:rRNA from 1 species